CAGGAAUCAUUGUACUCAACGGUCUCUAUUUUGUGUGCAAGUAUGUUGGCUUGAGAAGCAUCAGAACUAAAGGUUGAAUAUAAGCAAGUGUGAUUCCAACAACUACGAUAUUCUGUGAGGUCGACCUGGUGUCAUACUACUUAAUUAACUCUUGUGUGCCACCAUACCCCUGGUCGCAGUGCCCAUGACUUCAGUCCUAGCAUGUCGCAUGCCACAGCUUCUGCCACCUCAGUAUCUUCAACUUGUUGGAGUACUGGCCAACCUCAUGGAACCACAGCAUGGUUCUUCCAUCCCACCCUUUUCUUCUCAAGGAAACACACAUCAGUAUUCUUCAUAUGGUGGUGGAUACCAGAGUGGUAGUACAACAAAAAAGAUUGAUAUCCCAAAUGGAAGAAAUCAUUAUCUUUUGAAAGAUUCAAGGACGUUCGAGGAGUGACUAGUACCAUUGAAGACUUUGCUGAGCGAGGCAAGAAACCUACUUUGAUCAUGUUGAACCCAUAUUUGCAUUACACUUAGAAUUAUUUUUCAUGCAUAAAGUAUUGUUUACUAGUAUUGCUAUUAAGUAAAUUAGCUAGGGUUUAGCUAUGCCCUAUGUGCUUGAUAUUGACACCCCUUUGACAUUCUUAUGCUUAGUAAAUUAGCUAGGGUUUCGCUAUGCUCUAUGUGCUUGAUAUUGACACCCUCCUUUGAUAAUACCGUUCCUUCACCAUGUAGUGGUCACAAAUAAAUGUGGGUCAUAUGUGCAAUUUAAUAGUAUUGCUUAGCCAUGCUAGUCGCAUAAAUCAUAGGACUUGGGAAGAAUUUUUGUUACUCAUAAAUGUUUUACAAAAACCUAAGGGUGUCACUAAUGCCCAUGGUAUGAUUCUGAAAAUAAGGUUAUAUAAAAUGGAGAUGAAGUGGAGAUUUAGUUAGGUGAUUGUGACUUUGACGAGAUAGUCAAAGAUGUUUGGUGGAUUAUAAAUUCUUUAUGUAUAGUAAAUGAGCAUGGUGGUUAUUGUAUUGGCGGAUAAAUGGAUCUUCAAUAAACUUGAAGCAAUUUGGAUUUAGUUAGGCGAUUGUAAUCUUGAACCAAAUUUCAUGGUGGAUUAUAAGCUUUCGAUGCAUUUAUUUAGUUCGUUGUGAUCUUGGGGAGAUAGUCAAAGAUGUUUGGUGCAUUAAUUAAUCUUGGACAAUUUGGAUUUAGUUAGGUGAUUGUGAUAUUGAACCGUAUUUCAUGAUGAAUUAUGAGAUUUUAGGUGGAUUUAGUCACAUGAUUUAAUCUUGAGAAGAUAGUCUAAAUGUUUGGUUGAUUAUGAGAUUUUAGGUAUGGUAGAUGAGCAUGGUGAUUAUUAUACUGGUGGAUAAAUAGAUCUUUAAUUUUGUUUGGACCAUUUAGGAUUUAGUUAGGUGGUUUAGAUCUUAAACCAAAUUUCACGGUGGAUUAUGAGGUUUUGGUUGAAUUUAGUUAGGUGAUUGUGAUCUUGACGAGCUAGUAAAAGAUGUUUGGUGGAUUAUGUGAAUUUAGGUCUAGUAGGUGAGCAUGGUGGUUAUUAUAUCGGUGAAUAAGUAAUUUUUUAACAAACUUAAGAAAUUUUGGAUUUAGUUAGGCGAUUGUGAUCAUGAACUAAAUUUCAUGGUGAAUUACGAUAUUUUAGAUGGAUUUAGUCAGUUGAUUGUGAUCUAGAAGAGAUACUCGAAGAUGUUCGAUGGAUUAAUUAUCCUUUAAUAAUUUGAAUUACGUUUGGCUAUUGUGAUUGAACUGAAUUUCACGAUGAUUUAUGUGAUUUUAGGUGGAUUUAAAUAUGUUAUUAUGAUCUUGAGAAGAUGUCAAAGAUGUUUGGUGGAUUUUAAGAUUUUAGGUCUAGUAUGUGAGCAUGGGGACUUAUAUUGGUGGAUGAAUAGACCUCUAAUUUAGCUUGAAACAAUUUGAAUUUAAUUAGAUGAUUAUGGCCUUUUAACCAAAUUCAUGGUGGAUUUUGAUGUUUAGGUUGGAUUUAGUUAGGUGAUUGUGAUCUUGACGAGAUAGUCAAAGAUGCUCGAUGGGUUAUGUCAGAAUUUAUGCCUAGUCUAGUAAAUGAGCAUGGUGGUUAUUAUAUUGGUGGAUAAAUGGAU